UCAGUGAGCUGCUAUUCAGACUCAGAAAGUAGCUUGGAGAAUACUCCAGACGUUAGGCUUUGCGAGUUUUUGUUUGUUUACAUAGAAAAGUCUCUUUUAAAUUUCCUUAUUCUUACACUGCAAAGAGACCUAACCUUGAUGGGUCCCAUCUGCAAUGCUCCUCCUGAAAAGAGACAGAGCUGUUUAACUGAACUGACCUAUUUGGAGGACGAAUAGACUGAUUGAAAAAGGUGCCCAGGAAGUCCUGGAACUGAGUCCUGGGGCAAGGUUCUGGAAGUUGGGACAAGAAGUACCAAAAUUUAAUGCUUCUGUGAAAAAUAAAACAUUUCUGGACCUGCACAGCUCCCUGAAGCCUCCCAAAGAAAGAAAAAGAAAAAAGAGGUGGCUGAAAAUGGAAAACUAAGAAUUUUGGAAAAGGAUGAUAAUAAAAUACUUUGCA
rnacentral:lncRNA from 10 species